GUAAACACUCUUCCAAGGAGACAGCUUCUUUCAGUGUGCUACAAGCCAGAGUGAUCUGGUAUAUCUCAGCCACAUUCUUAUUGGAGAAAGGCUAAUUUGUCAUCCAUUAUCACUCUGACAAGUUAAUAAGGUUUAUGUCAGCAUUUGGACAAGAUGAAGGCCUAACUGUACAUUCCCUGGAAAGUUCAAUCAUUUGGAUUCAAUUUAUAUGUCUGCUUUGUUAACAAGGGACUAUCUUAUGCAACCUUUGAAUGAAGUUCCUUGUAUCCAGGACUUGAAGACAGACAAUAUCAGACCGACAGAGACUGCCAACUAGCCUGAAGCUGCCAGUACUACUGGAUCUCAAUGCUGCCCGGCUUGCUGCGUGUUGUUCUCAUUUCCUGUUCUACACCUAUGUGGGUUCAGCUUAGCCCAGACUGCUGAGGAGAUCUGUGGAUGAGAGAUACAGUACCUGCUUAUCCUUCAUCUUGAGUACCAACGUGCAUCAGGAGGAUAUUCGGCGGGCAAUGAUCAAGCCUUUCUGUCUUGGUGUGGAGUUGAGCUCAACACUUUGGAGAGGAGCAAAGGACUAGUUAAGAGUUCAGUCUGCUUUUCUCCAAUCUCAAUAACCCAUGUUAAUUUCCCCAAACUUUCAAUGAAAUUAGUAUGCAGUUGUUCACAGUCCAUAUAACUUGCUUACAUUUUCUCUUUAAUUAACUAAUCUGGUUAAUUUUCUGAUCCACG